AUAGGUAUGCUUAGGGAGGAGCUUGCGUCACAUUAGUUAGUUGGUGGGGUAAAGGCCUACCAAGACUAUGAUGUGUAGCCGGGCUGAGAGGUUGAACGGCCACAUUGGGACUGAGACACGGCCCAAACUCCUACGGGAGGCAGCAGUAGGGAAUUUUCGGCAAUGGAGGAAACUCUGACCGAGCAACGCCGCGUGAACGAUGAAGUAUUUCGGUACGUAAAGUUCUUUUAUUAGGGAAGAAUAAAUGAUGGAAAAAUCAUUCUGACGGUACCUAAUGAAUAAGCCCCGGCUAACUAUGUGCCAGCAGCCGCGGUAAUACAUAGGGGGCAAGCGUUAUCCGGAAUUAUUGGGCGUAAAGGGUGCGUAGGCGGUUAAAUAAGUUUAUGGUCUAAGUGCAAUGCUUAACAUUGUGAUGCUAUAAAAACUGUUUAACUAGAGUAAGAUAGAGGCAAGUGGAAUUCCAUGUGUAGUGGUAAAAUGCGUAAAUAUAUGGAGGAACACCAGUAGCGAAGGCGGCUUGCUGGGUCUUUACUGACGCUGAGGCACGAAAGCGUGGGGAGCAAACAGGAUUAGAUACCCUGGUAGUCCACGCCGUAAACGAUGAGUACUAAAUGUUGGGUAAAACCAGUGUUGAAGUUAACACAUUAAGUACUCCGCCUGAGUAGUACGUACGCAAGUAUGAAACUUAAAGGAAUUGACGGGACUCCGCACAAGCGGUGGAUCAUGUUGUUUAAUUCGAAGGUACCCGAAAAACCUCACCAGGUCUUGACAUGCUUCUGCAAAGCUGUAGAAACACAGUGGAGGUUAUCAGUUGCACAGGUGGUGCAUGGUUGUCGUCAGCUCGUGUCGUGAGAUGUUGGGUUAAGUCCCGCAACGAGCGCAACCCUUAUUGUUAGUUGCCAGCACGUAAUGG
rnacentral:rRNA from 1 species